rnacentral:lncRNA from 1 species
UGAGAAUCAGGUUUCUUGGAAUCUAAUUCUCUUGACAUCAAGGCGCUAACUUUACCAGUAGUUCCCACUUUAACAGAACCUCCGCCGAUCUUGAUGGCUUCUAAUGUUUGAGCCAUGCUUUUUGAAUUUUCUGGGAUUGAUAGAUAUUUAGUUAUACCCUGCAAGACAAUAGAAAUUAGAGCACGCGUAAAUAAGUUCGUAUCAUGGGAUGAGCUACAUAGCCUAGAUUAACUUGAAAUCCAGGUCGGCAUAAAUUUCGUUGCUUCUUCAAAUUUUAUGAUUUUUCCAUCUAUACACUAUUAUGAACAGCAACCAAAAGAGCUAAGGGGAGAUUGAGAAAUACAGCUCCUCCAGACAGAAGCGGAGCGUGGCAGUGAAUGAAGCUUAUGAGGUUUGGGAUUCUAAUACUAAGUUACUAGUAUCUAAAUUAAUAGUUUAUACACAUUAAAUAGAUUUUUAAGACAAAUACAGGUUUUGGACAAAAGCUACUGAGUUUCGCCAAACCCAUUGCCAAAGAGCUAGCUCCGCCCCUGCCUCCAGAUAAAUGUCAACUGUAUUAUUUGCGAUGUAAAGGCAAGCAGCAAUAUCAUAUAGUAAUUGGAGGGCGUAGAAAAGAUACAACUUCAGGAUAAUAGUGAUUCGGAAACCACUAUUAUACUCACCAGAACAUAAUCUUCACGCCAAUGAAAAUUCUACUAAAAUGUGAGCCAAGUUCAUCAAAAUUUUGAAAAAUCACAACACAAGGGGAGACAAACUGAAUUCUUUAGUAGGAAAGUACGCGACUGGGAGAAACUUUUUUCUCAUCCAGUUCUGAUCUGCUUAGACAAAAAGGAGAGUUAUUUACUUAUAUUACCAGCUUAGAUAUAUGAAUAUGCUAUCCAAACAAAAAAAAUCCAACACGAGUACCCAAUUACACCUAUCAUCAUAAAUGGAAAGGAGACAGAGUAUUGCACAAAAUUGAAUUCUAACUGUAGAUGAAGUACAGAACAUUGAAAUCUAACUCUCAGAGCUACACAGUUGACCAUCUUGGUAUCGGUAAUAUUUGGACUAACAAUAAGAGGCUUAAAAAGGGUGGAAUCAUGUCACUUGGGAGGAUAAAGGGCAGAUAUAAACUGAAAAGUUCUGUUCAGAUUUCUCAGAUUUACCAACAAAAGUAUGUCUACGCCCAAAGGUUUGUCCAGAUUCGAUCAUUUUCAGCUAAAAUCUUCUCGUGAUAGAAAAUAAAGUUUAACCAGCUGAUCCAUGGAAAUUAACUAGCAGGGUUAGGCUGGAGAGAGCAGCAAAAACAAACAACAAGUACGCCUCAAUUCCAAACAAGUCGGGGCCAACAAUAUGAAUCAUCACGGACCACGUUACUUCAUAUAAACUUAUAUCAUCCUUAUAUUAUGCAAAUACGAAUUAAAAGUAUUAGAAGUUAUGCAUAUUUUAUGAACAAAUAAAUCUCUGAAAGGCUAAAUCACUCCUUGAAGCAACUGGACCUAUAGUAAAAGUGUUAAAGUCUAAAACAUGAUUCACCAGUGCAAGAUAACAGUGAAACAUAUACCCGAUUAGUGCUUUCGUUUCUACUCAAUCGCCAUCUUCAUCUGUACAACUUAAAAUCUGUCAUUUCUGGACAGCAUCACAACUAUAUCCCCCCACCCAAUCCUAUCAUCAAAAGCAAACAAAAACGAACAGCGGAAACAGACUACAUAACCUAUGACUCAUGCAGAAAAAACAACGGUUGAUGCGAGGCUAUAUAUUAUACAGUCAGUCAAAAACCAAAAAAGAUCAAAUUUUGCAGCGACCCAAAAACCAUUAAAGCUCAAAACUUUAAGUUAUCAGCUGAGGCGCAUUAUGCAACAAUUACUUUUUUUGGGAGUAUAAGUGCAAAGUUUAGAAGGGGAGCCUGUGUGACCAGGAGUUCACGGGUUCAAGCUGUGGAAACAGCUUCUCAUAGAAAUGCAGGUUAAGGUCGUGUACAAUGGACCCUUGACAUUGCGGGAGCUUAGUACACCGGGCUACCUUGAAGUGCAAAGUUUAGUAAAAAAAUUAUAUGUUUUUAAAAGCUUCUAUAGAUAACACCAAAGCUUUACUGUAAAGACCCAUAUCCCAAAUAGUAUUCAAGAUCAUAAAGAGGAAGCCAAAAUUGCAAAACACACAGAAAAACUGAAACUUUAUAAAGUCAAAUGAACAGACAGAUCUAACUAAGUGACCAGAAUGUAUUAAACAUAAUCAAAGAAUAACUCAAGAACCUCAACAAGAAACUAUGAAAAAAAUUGGUGCUAAUAAAAUUAUGAUUCGAAAAUUACCAGCAAGAAGUAGCAAAUGGAGCUCAGAAAAAUGAUUGUCGAACAAACCCCACAAGAAGAGAGAGUUGAAGAUGAAAGCAAGAGUAAUGCAACACAGACCAGUUCAUCAGCAAAAGCAGUACUAUAAUUUGUUACUACUAUAUAAGUUUUCACGGG